rnacentral:rRNA from 1 species
GACGAACGCUGGCGGCGUGCUUAACACAUGCAAGUCGAACGGAAAGGCCCCUUUGGGGGUCCUCGAGUGGCGAACGGGUGAGUAACACGUGAGUAACCUGCCCUUGACUUCGGGAUAACUUCAGGAAACUGGGGCUAAUACCGGAUAGGAAUCCUUGCUGCAUGGUGGGGGUUGGAAAGCUUCGGCGGUUUUGGAUGGACUCGCGGCUUAUCAUCUUGUUGGUGGGGGAGUGGCUUACCAAGGCUUUGACGGGUAGCCGGCCUGAGAGGGCGACCGGCCAGAUUGGGACUGAGAUACGGCCCAGACUCCUACGGGAGGCAGCAGUGGGGAAUAUUGCAGAAUGGGCGGAAGCCUGAUGCAGCAACGCCGCGUGCGGGAUGACGGCCUUCGGGUUGGAAACCGCUUUCAGCAGGGGCGAAGCUUGUGGUGACGGUACCUGCAGAAGAAGCACCGGCUAACUACGUG